UCAGACCUGUCGGGGUCGCUCCCGGCCGGCAGGAAAGACACACGACAAAGUCUGGCGGUGUGCAACCUUGCCUUUAUUUGUCUCCGCGUGGGCCCCGCGAGGCCUCCUCUCUGCCACCAGCCCUUUCUCGCCAGUGGACUUUCUCUAUCUCUCUCUGUGCUUCCUCUGUGGCGGGAGAGGCAUUCACUUUUAUAGGGCAACAGUAGCCAAUCAGUUCAAAGCGCGCGAUGCGGGCUGACUGGCUAACAUCAGCUGUUGCUAGGCAGACUAUCUUACAGAGCGGGUUGUUUAAGUCGCCAGCGCAAUCGGGGCAGGAAGCAGGCGCCAACUUGACUCACUCGAUGGGAGGGGCAAUCUAGCUCAGGCUCCGCCCCCACCCACAGGCCCUACGUCCGCCAAGUAAGGCGACCGGUGUCGGCCGCGGCUCCCAACACAGACCCAAACAUCAGACCUCAGCAUACGACUGGGCUGCUGGAAAUGAUAACUGAACAUUCGCUGGUGCUUUCCUGUCAAGACAUUGCUCCGAGGUUGAGGGUCUGGAGAGGGUGAGGCUGCAUCUGGCCACUGACCCUUGGCUCUGACUGCAUACUGGGGGAUGCCCAGUGUUCGUCCACUGCGAUCCUCUUAGAUUCUUUUCCUCCUCCUCUUCCGGUCCUCACUGGUACUCGGCAUUUUGAACUUGGAGCUGGCAUCCAGUGUCUGAAGCACCACCAGGCACUGCCUGGUUAGAUCCUGUCUCACUGGACCUUCUGAACUUUGACCUUUUCCCAAUAUCGUCCACACUUCCUGAGCACGUUUGCUGCCCUAGACACUCUCCCAUCUGCCUCUGGGCUUCAGGGACCUGCCUCUUCAGGUCUCCUUGCGCAGCUCGGGCUGGCCUUGAGCCCACUUCGUACCCCAGGGUGGCCUCAAACUUGCAGAGAUCCUCCUUUGUCAGCUUCCCGAAUGCUGAGAUUGCAGGCGUGUGCCCCAUGCCUGGCACAUCAAUUUCCAUCUUAAAAAUGAAACCAGCAGCCAUGUUUAAACACAUUAGUCAACGUGAUCUGGAGCAACCACCUUGCCGGAGGUUGGAAGCAGCUGGCCCCGACUCAGCCCUGAGCCGGAGGCCUCCCCUGCCCGAGCUGUCACGGCCUCGCUGACAAUUCCGUCUCCUCCGUCCGGUCCUGAAGGUUUCACAGUGAUGUGUUUGGAUCUGAGUGUGUGACACCACUCUGGCUGAGUCAAGGGAGAGUCUGAGGUGGUGGUCAUCCUGCUUUCACGUCAAAUUUACGCCUACAAGGAAGCCCUGCUGCCAUUUUCAUGGUUCCUGGAAUUGCAGAGGCAUCUUAGCGCCUUGCGGAGAAGCAGCUCGGAUGGCGAGCAGCGUGGACAGAGUGGAAAGGGGUAAAGAACCCGGGCCCUUGCUGAUGCUGGUGAUUGCCCAUCUCCCCUGGACCCGCGUCAGCAUUUAAGGCAAUUUUAGUGACUUAUUUUCAAUACAGAACAUGCUAACGGGUGUGAUGUAAAGUCUGCUACAUAACAUAGGCAUCUACUUGGUGUUGAUGUUUUCCCAACAAACACAUCUAGUUUAGGUGUCUUAGUCUUAACUUUCCACUUCUUUUUUAAAGUUGUGAGCAGAUUCACUCCAUAGUAGCUCUAGAUUAAGAAGACUGAACAUAUCUGAAUUGAGAUUGCUGUGUUAAAUGAAACUAAUUUGACAUUUUAUAUAUGUAUAUAUAUAAUAUGAAAUUUUUCUGCUGGACAAUUUCUAGACACAGAUGUCAAUUAGUUCAUGUAAAUCACUAGGGUUGUAGUUCAUAGCCUUUAAAAAUACAUGUAACUGGAUAAUUGUGAAGUCUACGUGGGGGUCUCAUCAUCCUUUCAAAAUCUUGCUAAGUUGAUUUCAUGCCUGGAUAAGUCAGUGUACGUUGGCUGGCAUCCCUUCCGUGUGUCCUUACCAUGCAUCCUUACUGAAAGGACAGUGCGUGUCCUUUUACUGUGUGUAACUCUUCUUUGAAUGAUCUGGCCUUAUUGGGAGACUUAUUCUCAGUCCCGCAGGGAUCCAGCCAUGAAUGUAAAGGAUGAGGCCUUGUUGAGGAUUAUACCAUGAAGACAGGGAUUGUUCUGAGUCACCUUGGUAAAGCAAACUGUGGUAAACUGAUCCUGUGGGGCCUAUUAAAAGAAACCCUUAGUAUAGUCAUGAGGGGGCCUCAGCCUUUGAUAUUUAGAUUAAUAGACUGCAAUCAUUGUUCUUAAUCUAAGAAUCAAAUUCCUGUGUCUAUUUCUGUCAAACACACUAUCAGAAUAUCUAAAUUGAGAAGAAGGUAGGAAAAAAUUUACAUAAUGCUUAAGAUAUACCCACUUAAAAAGCCUGUCCUUACACUGAAAAGCUUUUGCUAGCACUUUCCUGUAGGUAUGUCUGUAAGAAGAGAUUGGGAAGAAACUCAUUUCUUGCUGUUCAAUAUAAAGCAGAAGAAAGAUGUGAUUGGAUGUUACUAAGGUGUGUUUAAAAAAUUUUCUACCCAUAAAAGGUUAAAACUUCUCUCCGGACUCCUGGUCUAUUUGCCGGGAAACAACGGUUCCAGCUCGGUUUCUGGCUCACCACCUGGGGGGUAAAAUCCUUCCCUCCUCUCUUUUCCAUUCCCUAAUCCAACAGUGCCAGCCUUGGUGAUUAAAAUCCUCAGCUACAGGGAGCGUAUGGCAGCGUACGAGAUGUUUGCUAACGUAUUUUGUGGGAGGUAAGAACAUGAGUGUUUUCUGAGUCUCUUGUCUUCCGAAGGACUGAAAUUUCCUCCCUACCACAGUGUAAAGAAUUAAAACACAGUCUGUGCUGGAGAGGAGCAGCAAUUUGCAAACCCCAAGACCAGGUCCUAAAAUUCUGUCUUUGCUGGCAUCCACGAAGCCCACAACCUCAGGCAGGCAUGGAAUCACUCGCGUCUUUGGGGAAUAAGAAUUGGGAUAUUUGUGGGGUCACCAGGUGUAUGCAGUGACUAUUUUGCCAGACUCUAAAGAUUAACUGCUGUUAUGUGUCUUGCACAAAGUAAAAUAAUAAAGUC